rnacentral:rRNA from 1 species
GACGAACGCUGGCGGCGUGCCUAAUACAUGCAAGUAGAACGCUGAAGGAGGAGCUUGCUUCUCUGGAUGAGUUGCGAACGGGUGAGUAACGCGUAGGUAACCUGCCUGGUAGCGGGGGAUAACUAUUGGAAACGAUAGCUAAUACCGCAUAAGAGUGGAUGUUGCAUGACAUUUGCUUAAAAGGUGCACUUGCAUCACUACCAGAUGGACCUGCGUUGUAUUAGCUAGUUGGUGGGGUAACGGCUCACCAAGGCGACGAUACAUAGCCGACCUGAGAGGGUGAUCGGCCACACUGGGACUGAGACACGGCCCAGACUCCUACGGGAGGCAGCAGUAGGGAAUCUUCGGCAAUGGACGGAAGUCUGACCGAGCAACGCCGCGUGAGUGAAGAAGGUUUUCGGAUCGUAAAGCUCUGUUGUAAGAGAAGAACGAGUGUGGGAGUGGAAAGUUCACACUGUGACGGUAUCUUACCAGAAAGGGACGGCUAACUACGUGCCAGCAGCCGCGGUAAUACGUAGGUCCCGAGCGUUGUCCGGAUUCAUUGGGCGUAAAGCGAGCGCAGGCGGUUAGAUAAGUCUGAAGUUAAAGGCUGUGGCUUAACCAUAGUAGGCUUUGGAAACUGUUUAACUUGAGUGCAAGAGGGGAGAGUGGAAUUCCAUGUGUAGCGGUGAAAUGCGUAGAUAUAUGGAGGAACACCGGUGGCGAAAGCGGCUCUCUGGCUUGUAACUGACGCUGAGGCUCGAAAGCGUGGGGAGCAAACAGG